rnacentral:rRNA from 1 species
CUGGGAGGACCAUCUCCUAAGGCUAAAUACUCUCUAGUGACCGAUAGUGAACCAGUACCGUGAGGGAAAGGUGAAAAGCACCCCGGAAGGGGAGUGAAAUAGAACCUGAAACCGUGUGCUUACAAGUAGUCAGAGCCCGUUAAUGGGUGAUGGCGUGCCUUUUGUAGAAUGAACCGGCGAGUUACGAUUUGAUGCAAGGUUAAGCAGUAAAUGUGGAGCCGUAGCGAAAGCGAGUCUGAAUAGGGCGUUUAGUAUUUGGUCGUAGACCCGAAACCAGGUGAUCUACCCUUGGUCAGGUUGAAGUUCAGGUAACACUGAAUGGAGGACCGAACCGACUUACGUUGAAAAGUGAGCGGAUGAACUGAGGGUAGCGGAGAAAUUCCAAUCGAACCUGGAGAUAGCUGGUUCUCUCCGAAAUAGCUUUAGGGCUAGCCUCAAGUGAUGAUUAUUGGAGGUAGAGCACUGUUUGGACGAGGGGCCCCUCUCGGGUUACCGAAUUCAGACAAACUCCGAAUGCCAAUUAAUUUAACUUGGGAGUCAGAACAUGGGUGAUAAGGUCCGUGUUCGAAAGGGAAACAGCCCAGACCACCAGCUAAGGUCCCAAAAUAUAUGUUAAGUGGAAAAGGAUGUGGCGUUGCCCAGACAACUAGGAUGUUGGCUUAGAAGCAGCCAUCAUUUAAAGAGUGCGUAAUAGCUCACUAGUCGAGUGACACUGCGCCGAAAAUGUACCGGGGCUAAACAUAUUACCGAAGCUGUGGAUUGUCCUUUGGACAAUGGUAGGAGAGCGUUCUAAGGGCGUUGAAGCAUGAUCGUAAGGACAUGUGGAGCGCUUAGAAGUGAGAAUGCCGGUGUGAGUAGCGAAAGACGGGUGAGAAUCCCGUCCACCGAUUGACUAAGGUUUCCAGAGGAAGGCUCGUCCGCUCUGGGUUAGUCGGGUCCUAAGCUGAGGCCGACAGGCGUAGGCGAUGGAUAACAGGUUGAUAUUCCUGUACCACCUAUAAUCGUUUUAAUCGAUGGGGGGACGCAGUAGGAU